rnacentral:lncRNA from 1 species
GGGGUGCUGGAUUAGAUUUUUUUUUCCGUUUUCUGUUGCGUGGGAUCAGGGAUCGAAAUAUAUAUAGAAACAGAGAGACGUUGGGCCGUGGAGAGUUGAAAUCUGAAUUUUCUUUUUUUUUUGUAUGGGACGAGCGGGAUUAAAAUAAUGUGAGGAGAGCAUCCACGCUCGACCAGAGUGCACAUUGACAAAGAUGCAAAAGCCUAUAUAUUAAAAUUUUAACACAUACGUAAAAGCCUGUGUUAAGAGAUCAACUCUUACGGACAGGUGUUAGCUAGACCACGUUGAUAAAGAUGCACGUUGUCAUGUGCAU